rnacentral:rRNA from 1 species
UGAAGAAUUUGUCCAACGGCGGGGGAUAGCCGGCCCAACGGCCGGGUAAUACCGCGUACGACCCUCGGGGGGCAUCCCCUGAAGGUGAAAGCCGCAAGGCGCCGAUGGAGAACUUCGCAGCCUAUCAGCUAGUUGGUGAGGUAAUGGCUCACCAAGGCGACGAUCCGUAGCUGGUCUGAGAGGAUGAUCAGCCACACUGGGACUGAGACCACGGCCCAGACCUCCGUACGGGGAGNAG